rnacentral:rRNA from 2 species
GACGAAGGAUGCAAGCGUUAUCCGGAUUCAUUGGGUUUAAAGGGAGCGUAGGUGGUCUUAUAAGUCAGUGGUGAAAUCUCGCAGCUUAACUGCGAAACUGCCAUUGAUACUGUAGGACUUGAGUAUAGUUGCUGUGGGCGGAAUAUGACAUGUAGUGGUGAAAUACUUAGAGAUGUCAUAGAACACCGAUUGCGAAGGCAGCUCACAAAACUAUAACUGACACUGAGGCUCGAAAGUGCGGGGAUCAAACAGG